rnacentral:rRNA from 1 species
AGUCGAGCGCACUCUUUUAGAGUGAGCGGCAAACGGGUGAGUAACGCGUGGGAAUCUACCCAUUUCUACGGAAUAACACAGAGAAAUUUGUGCUAAUACCGUAUACGUCCUAUUAGGAGAAAGAUUUAUCGGAGAUGGAUGAGCCCGCGUUGGAUUAGCUAGUUGGUGAGGUAAGAGCUCACCAAGGCGACGAUCCAUAGCUGGUCUGAGAGGAUGAUCAGCCACACUGGGACUGAGACACGGCCCAGACUCCUACGGGAGGCAGCAGUGGGGAAUAUUGGACAAUGGGGGCAACCCUGAUCCAGCCAUGCCGCGUGAGUGAUGAAGGCCCUAGG